UCUAACCAUCCCCGGUAGAUUUGUAAUAAGCAAUGAGAUUGUGAAACGAUGGUUAACCUUCCUGCAGCGGCACCUGGUCUGUGAUGUCCUGGAAAGUUUAUCACUUCCGCUCACAAAUCACGAUGCUCUGGAUGUUGCAAGUAGGAAAUAUGGAGGUCUUGUUCUUCACUGAAAGCAGAGCAAACAAAUGGAUGCAUCUCCAGCCAACGUGGCACCAAAGCUGAUCGCCUUUUAGAGCAGCAUACUACUUGUGUCGGACCUUAUUUACAACCAUUUGCAUUUUAAUUUAUUUAUUUUGCU
ensembl:lncRNA